GGGUUGUGAGGUUAAGCGACUAAGCGUACACGGUGGAUGCCCUGGCAGUCAGAGGCGAUGAAGGACGUGCUAAUCUGCGAAAAGCGUCGGUAAGGUGAUAUGAACCGUUAUAACCGGCGAUGUCCGAAUGGGGAAACCCAGUGUGAUUCGUCACACUAUCGUUAACUGAAUACAUAGGUUAACGAGGCGAACCGGGGGAACUGAAACAUCUAAGUACCCCGAGGAAAAGAAAUCAACCGAGAUUCCCCCAGUAGCGGCGAGCGAACGGGGAGCAGCCCAGAGUCUGAAUCAGCUUGU
rnacentral:rRNA from 1 species